rnacentral:rRNA from 1 species
CCUACGGGAGGCAGCAGUAGGGAAUUUUCGUCAAUGGGCGCAAGCCUGAACGAGCGAUGCCGCGUGAGUGAAGAAGGCCUUCGGGUCGGAAAGCUCUGUUGCGGGGGAAAAAAGGCAGCAUCAGGAAAGGGGUGCUGACUGAUUGUGCCCCGCCAGAAAGUCACGGCUAACUACGUGCCAGCAGCCGCGGUAAGACGUAGGUGGCGAGCGUUAUCCGGAAUGAUUGGGCGGAACGGGUGCGCAGGCGGUCCUGCAAGUCUGGAGUGAAACGCAUGAGCUCAACUCAUUCAGGGCUUUGGAAACUGGAGGACUGGAGAGCAGGAGAGGGCGGUGGAACUCCAUUGGUAGCGGUACAAUGCGUAGAUAUAUGGAAGCACACCAGUGGCGAAGGCGGCCGCCUGGCCUGUUGCUGACGCUGAGGCACGAAAGCGUGGGGAGCAAAUAGGAUUAGAUACCCUUGUAGUC